CGUCUCGGACACCCUGCUGGGCUCUUACCCUGUUGCCCUGGUAACCGCCCCCCACUCCGGUCACCUCCACCCCCCCCCCCCCUCCAAUCACCGCCACCAACAACCUCCAUCCACCUUCCUCCUAUUUUUCCUGAGAGCCAAUAGAAACCCUGUUGCCAGGUGGAAUGCUCAUUUGAAUCAGCCAAUCCAGGAGUCUAACUGCUUGCCCUGCCUUAUAUGGGGAUUUGAGGAGGGCCACUCCCCCCACUCCAGCCCCACAGGGGACCAGCCCCUCCACUGUCCUUUCUCCCCGCCCUGGAGAGAGCCUGGGACCCUCCCUGUCACCCUCGUAUAAGGGCUUGGCCUCCCAUUUCUCUAACUGGGACCACCGGGGUUAGUGCGGGGAGUGGGCCGGACUGUGGGCUGGGCCUCUGGGUUGGGGGUGGGAAUGAGGUGUGAUUAGGAAGGGGAGGCGGAGGGAGCCGGGAAUUUUGCCCAGGGAGGGGUGUCUGGGAGCGGAGGCAGCUGCAGUGGAAAAUUCCAGGGAGAUGGAGAGGCAGAGAAUGGGAAUCCUGCCCCAAGGCCCAAGGGAGUGCCUUGAGAAUCUAAGAGUUUGGACACUAGGGUCCCCAGGGACCACAGGAAAAAGAUCCAGGAAGCAGAAGGCCUGGAUCUAAUUCCCUUCCUGCACGGGAGAAGCAUCUCUUACCCUUUCCUGUCUGGUUGGACAGCAGAACCGGCCUCCUGACGUCUUAGCUUCAUGAGAAAGAAGCUAGAAGUGGAACUCAGGAUGAAUUUGGAACAAGAGUGUGUCUGAAGAAAGCCUCUUCCCAACACUGGGGCACAUCCAUCAGGAGCACUGCCCGUCACAUUGUAUCCAUCAUCACAUUCCACAAGCUUUUAAGUAGAGUCUCCCUUAGACAGUCCACAUGGACUUCCCUGGCUUGGGUCCCACCUUCCUCAGAAACCUGCAAGACCCGUGACUCGCAACCCUCUACGUUUAGCACUGCGACUCCUUCCCUUCUGGUCAUCAAUCCCUCGACCGUCUGGAGCUCCUCAAACCCCACAGGAGCCACCUGAGAUCCUGCUGCUUUCUAGUUCGGUUACAGGUCGACAUCUCGUGCUGUCUUUCUUUCUUUCUUUUUUUUUACGUGCUGACUUUAAACUUAUUAGGGUUUUCAACCAGGAUUUAAGAAUUUGUGUGUGUCUUCGGCCCUUACCUCCCUACCUGGCAUGUGGUGGAAGGUCAAUAUGUUUCCUGAAAGACACAAACUGACUUUCUACCUAAGAUACCAAUCAACUAAAAAAUAAAAAUAAAAUUAAAUACA
rnacentral:lncRNA from 1 species